rnacentral:ncRNA from 2 species
ACAAAACCUUAGGGGUGGCCGUAACCGGCCUGAGAUGUCCGCCAGGAUGAACCCUUUGAACCUGAUCCGGUUAGUGCCGGCGUAGGGAUAGGUGCUCCUCUGCUA